rnacentral:rRNA from 1 species
GAUGAACGCUGGCGGCGUGCCUAAUACAUGCAAGUCGAGCGAACAGAGAAGGAGCUUGCUCCUUCGACGUUAGCGGCGGACGGGUGAGUAACACGUGGGCAACCUACCUUAUAGUUUGGGAUAACUCCGGGAAACCGGGGCUAAUACCGAAUAAUCUGUUUCACCUCAUGGUGAAAAACUGAAAGACGGUUUCGGCUGUCGCUAGAGGAUGGGCCCGCGGCGCAUUAGCGAGUUGGGGAGGUAACGGCUCACCAAGGCGACGAUGCGUAGCCGACCUGAGAGGGUGAUCGGCCACACUGGGACUGAGACACGGCCCAGACUCCUACGGGAGGCAGCAGUAGGGAAUCUUCCACAAUGGGCGAAAGCCUGAUGGAGCAACGCCGCGUGAGUGAAGAAGGAUUUCGGUUCGUAAAACUCUGUUGUAAGGGAAGAACAAGUACAGUAGUAACUGGCUGUACCUUGACGGUACCUUAUUAGAAAGCCACGGCUAACUACGUGCCAGCCGCCGCCGUAA